rnacentral:rRNA from 1 species
UACGUAGGGGGCAAGCGUUGUCCGGAAUUAUUGGGCGUAAAGCGCACGCAGGCGGUUUUUUAAGUCUGGUGUUUAAGCCCGGGGCUCAACCCCGGUUCGCACCGGAAACUGGAAGACUUGAGUGCAGGAGAGGAAAGCGGAAUUCCACGUGUAGCGGUGAAAUGCGUAGAGAUGUGGAGGAACACCAGUGGCGAAGGCGGCUUUCUGGACUGUAACUGACGCUGAGGCGCGAAAGCGUGGGGAGCAAACAGG